rnacentral:rRNA from 1 species
AGAGUUUGAUCCUGGCUCAGAACGAACGCUGGCGGCGUGUUUAAGACAUGCAAGUCGCACGGAGAAACAAAGGUAUUUAUAUUUUUGUUUUUCAGUGGCGCACGGGUGAGUAACACGUGAAUUACAUGCCCUUCAGUGGGGAAUAGCCCAGGGAAACUUGGAUUAAUACCCCAUGGUAUCGCAAGAUUAAAGGUGGCCAGCAAUGGCUGUCGCUGAAGGAUUGGUUCGCGCCCUAUCAGCUUGUUGGUGAGGUAACGGCUCACCAAGGCAAUGACGGGUACCUGGUCUGAGAGGACGAUCAGGCACACUGGAACUGAGACACGGUCCAGACACCUACGGGUGGCAGCAGUCGAGAAUAAUUCACAAUGGGGGCAACCCUGAUGGUGCAACGCCGCGUGGAGGAUGACGGUCUUAGGAUUGUAAACUCCUGUCAUCUGGGAGAAAGACCUGGUCGUUAAUAGCGAACAGGGUUGAUAGUACCAGAAGAGGAAGGGACGGCUAACUUCGUGCCAGCAGCCGCGGUAAUACGAAGGUCCCGAGCGUUGUUCGGAAUCACUGGGCGUAAAGGGAGCGUAGGCGGCGCGGUAAGUCGGAUGUGAAAUCCCGGGGCUCAACCUCGGAACUGCAUCUGAUACUGCCGUGCUAGAGUAAUGGAGGGGUAGCUGGAAUUCUCGGUGUAGCAGUGAAAUGCGUAGAUAUCGAGAGGAACACUCGUGGCGAAAGCGAGCUACUGGACAUUUACUGACGCUGAGGCUCGAAGGCUAGGGGAGCGAAAGGGAUUAGAUACCCCUGUAGUCCUAGCAGUAAACGGUGCACGCUUGGUGUGAGGGGAAUCGACCCCCCUCGUGCCGGAGCUAACGCGUAAGCUGCCGCCUG